rnacentral:rRNA from 1 species
GAUGAACGCUGGCGGCGUGCCUAAUACAUGCAAGUCGAGCGAACAGACGAGGAGCUUGCUCCUCUGACGUUAGCGGCGGACGGGUGAGUAACACGUGGAUAACCUACCUAUCCGACUGGGAUAACUUCGGGAAACCGGAGCUAAUACCGGAUAAUAUAUUUAACCUCAUGGUUCCAUAGUGAAAGACGGUUUUGCUGUCACUUAUAGAUGGAUCCGCGCCGCAUUCGCUAGUUGGUAAGGUAACGGCUUACCAAGGCAACGAUGCGUAGCCGACCUGAGAGGGGGGUAGGCCACACUGGAACGGAGACACGGUCCAGACUCCGACGGGAGGCAGCAGAAGGGAAUCUUCCGCAAUGGGCGAAAGCCUGACGGAGCAAAGCCGCGUGAGGGAUGAAGGUCUGCGGAUAGGAAAACUCUGUUAUUAGGGAGGAACAAAUGUGUAAGUAACUAUGCACGUCUUGACGGUACCGAAUCAGAAAGCAACGGCUAACUACGUG